rnacentral:lncRNA from 1 species
UCUGCUGGAUCGCGGAAUUCUCACUCUCUCUCUGGCACCGAGGGACAACCACGAGGCUCAGGUCCAAUUCGCCCUCGAACGCGGCAUUCCAGCUAUCUUGGGCAUCAUCUCCACCCAACGGCUUCCCUUCCCUGCCAAUUCCUUCGACCUGGCCCACUGUUCGAGGUGCCUCAUUCCAUGGACAGAAUUCGGUAUACAUAUUCUCUCUCUCCCUCUCUCUCUCAUUUUUUUUAAUUUCCCGUGCAUAUCUCUCUUCGUUAAUUCCUUCCAUUUCGUUUUUCUUUUCUGAAUUUAUCCAGGUGGGCUCUAUCUCAUGGAGAUCCACAGGAUCCUCAGGCCCGGGGGGUUCUGGGUUCUCUCCGGGCCCCCGGUCAACUACGAGAACCGGUGGAAGGGAUGGAACACGACCAUCGAGGAGCAAAAGUCAAACUACGACGGGCUGAAGAAGCUGCUGACGAACAUGUGCUUCAAGCUGUACAACCAGAAGGACGACAUCGCCGUGUGGCAGAAGGCCUCCGACGGCGACGCCGCCUGCUACGACCAGAUGAAGGCGCCCG